rnacentral:rRNA from 1 species
UACGUAGGGUGCAAGCGUUGUCCGGAAUUAUUGGGCGUAAAGGGCUCGUAGGCGGUCCAUCGCGUCGGGAGUGAAAAGCUGGGGCUCAACCCCAGUCCUGCUUCCGAUACGGGUGGACUAGAGGUAUGCAGGGGAGAACGGAAUUCCUGGUGUAGCGGUGAAAUGACGCAGAUAUCAGGAGGAACACCGAUGGCGAAGGCAGGUCUCUGGGCAUUAACUGACGCUGAGGAGCGAAAAGCAUGGGGAGCGAACAGG